rnacentral:rRNA from 1 species
CCUUGACAUACUAAGAACUUUCCAGAGAUGGAUUGGUGCCUUCGGGAACUUAGAUACAGGUGCUGCAUGGCUGUCGUCAGCUCGUGUCGUGAGAUGUUGGGUUAAGUCCCGCAACGAGCGCAACCCUUUUUCCUUAUUUUGCCAGCGGGUCAUGCCGGGAACUUUAAGGAUACUGCCAGUGACAAACUGGAGGAAGGCGGGGACGACGUCAAGUCAUCAUGGCCCUUACGGCCAGGGCUACACACGUGCUACAAUGGUCGGUACAAAGGGUUGCUACCUCGCGAGAGGAUGCUAAUCUCAAAAAAGCCGAUCGUAGUCCGGAUCGCAGUCUGCAACUCGACUGCGUGAAGUCGGAAUCGCUAGUAAUCGCGGAUCAGAAUGCCGCGGUGAAUACGUUCCCGGGCCUUGUACACACCGCCCGUCACACCAUGGGAGUUUGUUGCACCAGAAGUAGGUAGUCUAACCGCAAGGAGGACGCUUACCACGGUGUGGCCGAUGACUGGGGUGAAGUCGUAACAAGGUAGGCGUAGAUGA